rnacentral:lncRNA from 1 species
GCUGUUUUUGGUUAUUAUCUUGAAUAUUAUUAUAGAUAGAGAUAAACUGUAAACAGCAAUAAUGUUCAGCAAAGUAAGAUUUACAAAUAAGUCAACAUGACCAAAAUGGUCAGUUGACCCCUUUAGGAGUUAUUGCCCUUUAUAGUCAAUUUUUAACCAUUUUUCGUAAAUCUUAGUUAUCUUUUACAAAAAUCUUCUCUGAAACUACUGGGCC